rnacentral:rRNA from 1 species
ACGGAGGGUGCAAGCGUUAUCCGGAUUUAUUGGGUUUAAAGGGUGCGUAGGCGGUUAUAUAAGUCAGCGGUGAAAUUUUUCGGCUCAACAGGAAACAAGCCGUUGAUACUGUAUAGAUUGAAUAAGGUUGCAGUAAGUGGAAUGCGUAGUGUAACAGUGAAAUUCUUAAAUAUUACACAGAAUAUCUAUUGCGAAGGCAACACACAAGGCCAAUUUUGACGCUAAUACACGAAAGUGAGGGGAUCAAACAG